UACGUAGGGUGCAAGCGUUAAUCGGAAUUACUGGGCGUAAAGCGCGCGCAGGCGGCUGUGCAAGACAGGUGGGAAAUCCCCGGGCUUAACCUGGGAACUGCACUUGUGACUGCACAGCUGGAGUGCGGCAGAGGGGGAUGGAAUUCCGCGUGUAGCAGUGAAAUGCGUAGAUAUGUGGAGGAACACCGAUGGCGAAGGCAGCCCCCUGGGUUAACACUGACGCUCAUGCACGAAAGCGUGGGGAGCAAACAGG
rnacentral:rRNA from 1 species